GAUGCCAGGGUCAAAAGCCUGAAACCACGAUGUGCUUGCACAAGAGUGGUUUUAUGGCUUAAUGACCCGCCCCGAUAUGAGCAUAAAAGUGGAGCGUAAGCUUCACGAUAUGCGAAUAUUGGGUAGAAUUGUGGAAGUACGAAGUACGGAACAAUUCGUAUG
rnacentral:sRNA from 1 species